rnacentral:lncRNA from 13 species
CUAAUGCCUUGUCUUUGUCAGUUUCUUGCUCUCUGAUUGUCUCUUCCCAAGGUGAGAUUCUCCCCCGCCCCAGGUUAUAAGCAAUGGUUUCAGGACCAAACUGUAUCAUUGAAUGUGAUUGAAUGCACACCUAGGACUGUAGCUUGAUUCACUUAACUUUCUCUCCCAGAUUCUUCUACUUUAUAUUCUUAAGCCACUCAUGUACAGCAUGCCCUUUUAUCCAUCCCAGCUGACAUUUUUCAAGCAUUUUAGCAACUCUGACCUCAUUCUUUAUUUAGCAACUUCAUUAGUUCAGUCCCAAGCUGUUACACAUCCUCUUCACUAAUACCAACAUAAUUAGGAUUUGUUUGAGUAAUGAAGACACACAUGCUAUUUAAAUUGCAGCUGGUGUCGGAGGAAAGUAGAGCUGGUUAAAUGGAAGGCCUUUCAUUCCGUUGAGUCUUCCAGGGUUUGGUCUGGCUGUUCAAAGGGAGUCUGGAGCAGAGGUUGUCAUUGGGAUCUGGGAAGAACAGAAAGACUCUACCUAACAAAGGGAGAAGACUUCGGAAUUUCCAGGGAGCAAUCCAAGAGGGCAAGAGUCAGGAGGAAUAAAGGGAGGCAAAGCAUGAGAGAAGAACCUACAAGAUGGCACUAGGCUCGGAACCUCAUGGGCGAGGUAGCCAUUGAGAAAUCCCCAUGGGUGAAUUUUCUCUACUUUCCUGUGAUACAAUAUUCACACGUUAUAAUGAUGUUAACAAUGUGACCUAUCAAUUAACCACUUUCCUUCCCCUUGGGUUCUAAAUGGUUGAGUGUAGAUAUCUGGAUUCAAAGGUGAUAAGGUUGUUCUCCUAAGAACAAGGCUGUCUGGUGUUCAAUUUGAAACGGCUCAUAUAGUCCUUUUCUCUCCCUUCUUUCCCCAGACUUCUUAGUAAUAUCAAAUACACACCCAAAUGGCCCCCAAGAAUGAUUUCAUCCUGGAAAACACAAGAUCUCUUUCUAAUUUCUAUGUCAACAGGAAGUGGGGGAGAGAAGGAAUUGACGUUGGAUGGAGACAAGAUAAAUACAAUGACUACAAAGGAGCUAGUGGAAUCACGUGGUUGUUGAAUCAAGAAUAGUCAAAAGCAAAUGAUGCUUGUUAUAAAGAUGACCAGCUUUAGAAGUACCUCUGUCAUCUCUAACAUAAGAAAAAAAAGACAUCUCCUGAAUGAAGAAUGAACAGAAAUACCUUGUGCUUCUAAAAUGUGUCAGAAAAUACACUGAGUUGUCACUAAU